rnacentral:rRNA from 1 species
GGAGGAAAAGAAACUAACAAGGAUUCCCCUANUAACUGCGAGUGAAGCGGGAAAAGCUCAAAUUUAAAAUCUGGUGGUCUUGGGCCAUCCGAGUUGUAAUCUAGAGAAGCGUUACCCGCGUCGGACCGUGUACAAGUCUCCUGGAAUGGAGCAUCAUAGAGGGUGAGAAUCCCGUCUUUGACACGGACUACCGAGGCUUUGUGGUACGCUCUCAAAGAGUCGAGUUGUUUGGGAAUGCAGCUCAAAAUGGGUGGUAAAUUCCAUCUAAAGCUAAAUAUUGGCGAGAGACCGAUAGCGAACAAGUACCGUGAGGGAAAGAUGAAAAGAACUUUGGAAAGAGAGUUAAACAGUACGUGAAAUUGCUGAAAGGGAAACGCUUGAAGUCAGUCGCGUUGGCCGGAAAUCAGCCNUGCUUUUGCUGGGUGUAUUUUCUGGUUGACGGGCCAGCAUCAGUUUUGACCGGUGGAAAAAGUCUAGAGGAAUGUGGCAUCUUCGGAUGUGUUAUAGCCUUUGGUCGUAUACAUCGGUUGGGACUGAGGAACUCAGCACGCCGCAAGGCCGGGUCUUUGACCACGUACGUGCUUAGGAUGCUGGCAUAAUGGCUUUAAUCGACCCGUCUUGAAACACGGACCAAGGAGUCUAACAUGCCUGCGAGUGUUUGGGUGAAAAACCCGGACGCGUAAUGAAAGUGAAAGUCGAGAUCCUUGUCAUGGGGAGCAUCGACGCCCGGACCAGAAGUUUUCUGACGGCCCUGCGGUAGAGCAUGUAUGUUGGGACCCGAAAGAUGGUGAACUAUGCCUGAAUAGGGUGAAGCCAGAGGAAACUCUGGUGGAGGCUCGUAGCGAUUCUGACGUGCAAAUCGAUCGUCAAAUUUGGGUAUAGGGGCGAAAGACUAAUCGAACCAUCUAGA